rnacentral:ncRNA from 3 species
UCGUACCGUGAGUAAUAAUG